AUGAGGAUGAAUGCAUCUCCAGGUCCGGAUGGCUUUAAUGCGGGCUUUUAUAAAACAGCUUGGAGCUGGAUUGGUGAUGAUGUUACUCAACUGGUAAGGAAUUUUUACGUUACAGGUGUUCUGCCUCCUCGUCUUAAUGAAACUCAUAUUGCUCUUAUCCCCAAAAAGAUAGUUUGUAAAUUACCUUCAGAUUUUAGACCUAUAAGCCUGUGUAAUGUAGUUUAUAAAAUUAUUGCUAAGUCCUUGUCUAAUAGGUUGAAGUCUCAUUUGCCAGAUUACAUCCAUCCUUCUCAGCAGGCAUUCAUUAAAGGUAGACGUAUUAGUAACAACAUCAUAGUAGCGCAAGAAAUUGCUCACUCUUUCUCCUUGAAAUCCUAUAAAGGCAAUGACUUCAUGCUUAAAAUCGAUCUUGCAAAAGCUUUUGACAGAAUCGAGUGGAAUUUCAUUUGCUCUGCUCUUGCACGUAAGGGGUUGCAUAGCCAUUUCAUUAAUCUUAUAUAUGCUUGCAUUUCUUCUCCCUCUUUUUCUGUGAUCAUAAAUGGGCAGCCUUUUGGAUGUUUCAAAAGUUCUAGGGGUAUACGACAAGGAUGUCCUUUGUCUCCAUAUCUUUUUGUCCUUGCUGUUAAUGAGCUCUCAAUGGCCCUACAGAAUGCACUACAAGCCAACCAGCUCUCAGGUAUAUCCUUAGGUCCAAACUGCCCUCCUAUCCACUCGUCCAAACUGCCCUCCUAUCCACUCGUUAAUGUUUGCUGA
rnacentral:rRNA from 1 species